rnacentral:rRNA from 1 species
AUUGAACGCUGGCGGCAUGCUUUACACAUGCAAGUCGAACGGCAGCGCGGGCUUCGGCCUGGCGGCGAGUGGCGAACGGGUGAGUAAUGCAUCGGAACGUGCCCAGUAGUGGGGGAUAGCCCGGCGAAAGCCGGAUUAAUACCGCAUACGACCUGAGGGUGAAAGCGGGGGACCGAAAGGCCUCGCGCUAUUGGAGCGGCCGAUGUCGGAUUAGCUAGUUGGUGGGGUAAAGGCUUACCAAGGCGACGAUCCGUAGCUGGUCUGAGAGGACGACCAGCCACACUGGGACUGAGACACGGCCCAGACUCCUACGGGAGGCAGCAGUGGGGAAUUUUGGACAAUGGGGGCAACCCUGAUCCAGCCAUGCCGCGUGCGGAAAGAAGGCCUUCGGGUUGUAAACCGCUUUUGUUCGGGAAGAAAUCCUCUGGGCUAAUACCCCGGGGGGAUGACGGUACCGGAAGAAUAAGCACCGGCUAACUACGU